rnacentral:rRNA from 1 species
GACGAACGCUGGCGGCGUGCUUAACACAUGCAAGUCGAACGAUGAAGCCGGAGCUUGCUCUGGUGAAUUAGUGGCGAACGGGUGAGUAACACGUGAGUAACCUGCCCUUGACUCUGGGAUAACUGCGGGAAACUGUAGCUAAUACCGGAUACGACCCUCGGAGGCAUCUCCUGGGGGUGGAAAGAAUUUCGGUCAAGGAUGGACUCGCGGCCUAUCAGCUUGUUGGUGGGGUAAAAGCCCACCAAAGCGACGAUCAGUAGCUGGUCUGAGAGGACGAUCGGCCACACUGGGACUGAGACACGGCCCAGACUCCUACGGGAGGCAGCAGUGGGGAAUUUUGGACAAUGGGGGCAACCUUGAUCCAGCAAUGCCGCGUGAGUGAAGAAGGCCUUCGGGUUGUAAAGCUCUUUUGUCAGGGAAGAAACACCGGCUCUAACACAGUCCGGGAAUGACGGUACCUGAAGAAUAAGCACCGGCUAACUACGUGCCAGCCGCCGCAGUAA